GUCCCGCUGGCGCCCCGCACCGCCCCCCGCAGCUGGGCGGCCAGCACCUUCACCGGCGGCCCCGGCGCGGGCCCAGCCAUGCUGUCGCGCCGGGAAGCGCCCGGCUAGGGCGGGCCUGAGGCGGCUGAGGGGACGCCAGUGCCCGCGGCGCGCAGCCGCUGAGGCAGGGAAAGGGCGGGAAGCGGCGCGCGGCCCGACCCGCCCCGGCGGUGGGCGUUCGCGGCGCCUCGGCGGCCACUUGAGGGGUCGGGCGCCGCGGCGCCGCCAUCGGGCAUGGGACGGGGGAAGGCGGAGAUCAGCCUCAGAGCUCGGCGGGCCACUUGGAAGGUCCACAGAUGAAUGGAAAAAAAGUCAUGAAGCGUGGAGCUGAUAAAUACAUGGAUCAUAAUGGUCAAAGAGAAGAUAUAAAAUGGUAACCCGACCUUUCUACUGAACCAAUGGUUGUGAUGAAGACUGCAGUGAGGCAACUAUAUAAAUAUUUAUUUAUCUGAAUACACUUAAAUAAUUAUUAAUGAAUUAUAUUAAAAUAUGUAUUUCAAUUUUUGUAGACGGCUAAAACGUACAUAGUUGGGCAACACAAUGGUUGUUUCUAAUUGUAGCUCUAUUGCCACAAAGGCUCUUCAUUGCUACAAGGGACUGCUCUAUGGCAGCCCUCGAAACUAAACAACAAAACUUGGACUUGAAGUUCAAAUAAGGCCAAAAAGCGACUCUUCAGUGAGUCAAAAAUACUGAAGCCAAAAGCUCAGCAUGCUUUCAGCUUGUCAUGAAAAGCAGCAAUAAAUGAUAAAUGCAAAACCAGUAUGCCUUAUUUUCAAAACCUGACGAGCCCACAAAACCAGACUUGCAGUAGUGCACUCUGUUGAAGAAGCCAACAGUGCUUGUUUAUUCAAAAUAGAAACUGUCAAUAUUUUAAGAGCUGACUAGGAGACAUCAGUUCAGUGUAGAUAGUGUCUAAGAUUCAUGCAAAUGUCCCAUAGCAUAAAGUAGCUGGACAGAACAGGUAUGACAGACAGUGUGUGCACAUUUUUGCUUGCACCUUUAGAGUUUUGAUGUUCCAAGCACUUAAAUUCAAAUAAUUUCAAAUUUUGUACAGGAGCAUUUGAAGAUCUGUAGGUCUGCUACAUUUUAAUUGCAACAGAUAUGAAUUUCAGGCAACAGACACUUCAGAAUGGAAAAGGACGGCACACAGCCUCAGAUUUGCAAGGCAAAGUGCAAAGUUCGUCAGAGUACUCUGGCUGCCGGUUACAGCUUCAUUUACGAGAAACUGUGCAGCGUGAAAGUGAAAGGUACAAAGUAGUUUCUUUUUUCGUAUCUACACAUCUCUCUAGUCUGACUAUACAUUACCUCGACUCUUUUAAAAGAUAAUACUGUGAUUACUAACAAACAAUCCUGACAGAUGUGGGUUAGGUAUUUUCAUUUUCAUUGUUUUCAUUGAUUUUAAGGCAGAGGGAGAAUUGAAUAGUUGAACCUACUGUUUGACAGACACCACUGAUUUAUUUGCAUUCUGGUACCUGUGGCUCUUCCUUUGCUGGGAACUCAGUGGUGUUUCAGUCCACUGCACACCACAAGAGCCUCUAGCGCUCACCAGUGGAGCUAAGGAGUCUGAAGCACAGUCAGUAUUGUGUUCACACUGUCAUUUGAUGCAAUCCCUUUUACCCUAAUUUCUGCCAAAUCAAAUACUAGGGUGAACAUCUGGGCAAUGGCAAAAAUAUUCUCUAGCCCCCUUUUUUUUCCUCCAUCCAGUUUAGUUAACAGUGACUAACCACAUUGAUGAAGGAAUUAAUAGAUUAGGGCAGACAUUUUUCCAAUGCAACUGUGCUGGCCCCAAUCACUCCCCAGUUCCACUGCUCCGCCCUGCCUGGUAAAGUUAAGCAUUCAGGUAUAUAGGUUAGAUUCAGUAUAUAUAACAUGGGUAGAGUUCAUAAAAUACUUUGGCUAGCCCAGUUAAAUUACGGUAUAUGCUACCUAUAAAACCAGCACUACUCAGUAUCAAUCUACUGUUUCUUCUGACCUGGGCCCUGUUCUGAAAGGUACACAGUGCCUUCUGAGACAUGCUACAUACUUUAAUCCUUCUUUGGUAUCAGCCUGAGUAAUGGUCAUAAGCGACUUGCAAAAUCAAGGCUGGAAGGAACAGUCCUUAUUAAGGAAAUCUCUAAAGUUCACAGUCACAUGAGUGUUCUUUUAAAGAGUGCCACAUUUUACUCAAAGCUGGCAGUAUUCAGUGAAUCUCCCUUUUGCUUGUGGCUAUUUUCCCUUCUGUUUCUUACAAAUGUCAUUGUACUACCCUGGAUUCUGGCUGGACUUGUGAUUAGCUAGGGCAAACAGAAAUUCCAGCCAAAGGAAACAGAACUGAAAGUAAUUAGAGAAUCUUUUUCAUUCAUCCUCUGAUCUGUAAAAUAUAUAGAUGUGUUUCCUUCUAAAGGCUGCAUUUCCCAGCUGUAAAACAAUAAAGCUCCCUCCGCCAGUACUUCUGCGCUUUUCAUCACACAGCUGUGGAGUGUUGCUAACUGAUAACAUUUGUAAAGAAUGCUUGUAAAGUCAUAAAAGAAGAAGUGUCAUGAAGUUCUUAAGUCCUAAAAUGGGGGGAAAGAGAAAGUUUAAGUUUCUGGUCUUGAGUUUGAAGCAGUUUGCAUGUUUUGCAAUGAUCUCAAACUAUAGUUUAUGAUCUGUAAUCUUGCAUUAAGCCCCAUUAAAUUCCUGGUAUAUGAGUAGGAAAGGGUGUACUGUUGCUUUGUUGUUUCAUCAGUAAAGUUGCAGACAGAUGCUUUAGGAGAAAAGCUUUUAUCUUUCCUGGUAGCCAUUUCUUGUGCAGGCACAUACUAAAGAACAAGUUUCCAUCAUGGCUUUCAUUUCGCUGGUUUUCAGUCACGGUUUUACAUUAUAUGUAAAUGUCUGAAUAUACAGCACCUCAACUUAAUAGCUCUA